rnacentral:lncRNA from 1 species
UAUAAAACUACUGCACUAAGAGAGAGCUCCACAGAGCCGACAGACUCUUAACAAUCUAACCCCAACACACUCUUGCAGCUAUGUCCAUGGUGCUGUGGGUCUAUCUGCUGUGUCUGCAGGGAUGUCUUCUCACAUAUGCUCUGGACUGCACGGGCAGAAGGGUGGAAUGUGCCGACACACAGGUUACAGAGGUAAAGGUAAAAGAUGAGCCCUUGUCUUCUCAGGUGAGGGCUCGAAGACAAGCUCCAAUCACUCAGCGGCCUGGAUCUUACUCAGUCAAAGGAUCUCCUAACACACUCAUCCAGACCGACAGGUCGAGGCGAAAUUUGAACUCUAGUAAAAAAAAGCCCCACAGAUCUCGUAUCGGUUCUUACUCAUUACUGUCCCAUUACCACGCAACCAACCAAUUACAGGUUGUAAGUGUUCAUAGACAGUUUGAGGGUGCAUUCCAUCCCAAAGUGGCUGCAUUAAAGUCUGUAAAGAAGAGAUCCAGAAGAAAUUCACCAAAGAAAGAAGAAUGCAAGGACUAACACAUGCUCCUGGGAGGUUCUUUGAAGCACUUACUGAAGCUGUACUUCCUGUUAAUGUUCUAGCUCAUCUGAGGCAAUGUACUUGUAAGAGUGCUGUGAGAUCACAGAUUAUGUGCAGAUAAUGUGAUCACAAUUAAUGACAAUAACUGGACAGUCCCACAUUAAAAUUUCUCAAAUACACAAAAAUGACUUCAAUAUAAACAUAUAUACAGCAUACUAAGCUUUAAAACCUACAUAAUACCCAUUUAGAAGAAAGUUUAUAGUUUAAUUAUCUUUUGCUAAUACAAUUCUGA